GCCACAUGAUGUUUUCACGUUGAGAAUUGAGUGCUUUGCACAAUGAUGACUUAAAUCUAUCACCCUUAACUGAUGGCU
ensembl:snoRNA SNORD83 Small nucleolar RNA SNORD83